rfam:Strongylocentrotus purpuratus Contig51577_fixed, whole genome shotgun sequence.
CUGCCAGCCGCAGUACCCGAACCGGUCCUACUCCCCAAGAGGCCAUCCCCAAGGGAGCUCAUGCUGCGGGGCCCUGAGCAAGCCCUCCGCUGGCGCCUAUCAAACGACACAGGCCUGAUCCUCGCGGACCAGGCCUGUGUUUUUUACGC